UAAUUUCUAGGCACAUACCCUUUAACCUAAUCCCUACCCCUAUAUAAUAGUACUUAAUCCCUAAAUUGUAGAGGACUCUAAAAAAAACACCAUCCGCCAUUUUAUCAAAAAAGAACCCCCUCCCAUUUCAGAUCUUCAUCGUCCUUUCCUCUCCAGAAUUAAGAAAGUCACUCCACACACACAAGCACAAACAAAAAUUGUGGGAGACAGUAGAAGAGAACGACUUUGGCCUAACUUCGUUCCGAAUAAUUUGAAUUUAGGAAUUUGGGUGUUCAAAUCGUAUAGCGCGAGUUCGAGUUCGAGUUCGAGGUUGCCGACGAGUUUCGCGGUCCGAGCUCCUGCUACUAUUGCAUUUCACGGUCAGAUUCCUUUUCUUUUCCUCGUUCAAUUUCUGGCAAAAACGAGUGCAUUGAAGCAAUUUGUAAAUGUGGUUAUUUCUUUAACUAUUAAUUAGUAUCACAAAGUUUUAAUGACUGAAUAUUUGCUUCCCACUAUCUCCCAUGCUUUAUUUAUUUUUGGGUGUCAUUUUUCGUUUGAAGAAUUUGUUCUACUGGACCAAUUCCUUCUCGAGCGGCACACCAUCGCCCUCAAAAAUGGAGAAGGUGCAAUUAACGUAUACUAAUAUAUUAUAUUCGGAUUGUGGCUAGGAAUCAUGCAUUAGUGCAAUUUAGUUUAAACAUUGACUAAUUUGUUAUUGUUGUUUAGGUGCAUUCUCUGUUCCUUUGUGCAAUUUUUUUAGAAUUUGCUCAUUACUUAGAUUAUUGUAGUAUUGUACCUAUUUGUGCUAUUUUUUUAAGGCUGUUGAAUCCCACUAAUUGGUAUGGUAGAAGAAGAUUUGGGAGUUCAAAAGGAUUACUCUUAAUUUGUCGUGAAUCUGGAAAAGCUUUUCGGUUGCUAUGACAUAAGUUCCAAGUAACUUUUAUAGAAAAUGCAACCGAUGACUUGUAAAAUACUAAAAUAUUGUAGAUGACCUAUUACGAAAAGUGAAAAUAUGCUAAUAGUAAAAGAGUAUGCGUUCGCGCAACUUCGGUUAAAUUUUUCUUAAUAAUUAAUUAAGCGCUGUGAAUUGUGUACACGUACACGUGACAUGAUUCUUGACGCGCCAAACAAAUGGGUACACGUACGCGUGACCUAUUUCAAGAUAAUUUUUCUUAGUUUAAAAGCGGUAAGCGAUAAAGGCACAUAGGUUAUAAAAUCAGUAAUUAUAUAAUUUUGAUAAGCCAAGUAUGAUCAAAGCGACCGUGCUAAAACCACGAAAUUUGGGAGUGCCUAACACCUUCUCCAGGGUUAAUAGAAUUCCUUACCCAGAUUUCUGUGUUCGCAGACCAUAAAUAAGAGUCAACUUCCUCGAUUUGGGAUUUUAAACCGGUGACUUGGGACACCAUAAAUUAUCCCAAGUGGCGACUCUGAUUUUUAAUAAAUAAAUAAUCCCGUUUUGAUUGUCACUUAAAUUGGAAAAAACUCCCUUAUACUUCUCUCGGGUGUAGUAAAAAGGAGGUGUGACAAUGCUAAAUGCCCCAAAACUAGCCAAUAAUUAUGCAAAUCCAUUAAUAUACGUUCAAUUACUCAUUACAACCCAAUUUAUAAUAAUUCCUAACCCCAAUCGAAAAGUUGACAAAAUUGCCCUCGGGCCCACGUGCCCAGAUUCCUAAAUUUUUCGAAGAUAUAGUUUACCCAUGAACUNNNNNNNNNNNNNNNNNNNNNNUUUACCAAUUUUCAUGCUCAAAGCUGAAACAAAACCAUGUAUUUAACGUCUAAUGAAUGGGAACAACUUACCUUGAUAUAGAUGAAGAAAAUAUCUCUUCCAAGAGCUCCAAAAUCGUCCAACCCGAAGUGAAAAUGGGUGGAAAUGAACCAAAACUCGAUUUUUAAAGAGAGCCCACUGACUCCAGUCCUUUCGCACUUGCGGCCUCUUGACCGCUUCUGCGGUCCCGCAGGUGCGGACCAAUUGUCGUGUCUGCGGUCCGGGGCUCCAAGCCCAUUUCCGCUUCUGCGCUCCUUCUUCCGCAGGUGCGAUCCCGUAUCUGUGGCAAAAUGACCGCAUCUGCGGUCCCAGCCUCGCCGUCCAUUUCCGCUUCUGUGGCACGAAGGCCGCUUCUGCGGCUCCACACCUACGGCCCUAGUUUCGCAGGUGCGGUUACACUAGCAACCAGCAAUUUCAGCUUUCUCCAAAAUUCCAUUUUCGAUCCGUUAACCACCCGAAAUCCAUCUGAGGCCCCCGGGACCCCAACCAAUCAUACAAACUAGUCCCAAAACACAUUACGGACUUGCUCGAGGCCUCAAAUCAUAUCAAACUACGCUAAAAUUACGAAUCAACCUCCAAUCCAAGCUUAAUGAACUUCAGAAAUUCAAACUUCUACAUUCGAUGACGAAACCUAUCAAAUCAUGUCCGAUUGACCUCAAAUUUUGCACACAAGUUAUAUUUGACAUUACGGACCUAUUCCAACUUCCAGAAUUGGAUUCCGAUCCUGAUAUCAAAAAAGUCCACUUCCGGUCAAACUUCUCAAAAACCUUCAAAUUUCUAUAUUUAGCCAAAUGACUUCAAAAUGACCUACGGACCUCCGAAUUCACUUCCGAUCGCGCUCCCAACUCCAGAAUCACCAUACAGAGCUAUUCCUAGACUCGGAAUCCAAAACGGACAUCAAUAACACUAAAAUGCACUUUAACCCAAACUUAUGAAAUUUCUUCCAAAUGCUAACUUCCACAAUAGGCGUCAAAACGUUCCCGAUUUUUCCAAAACCCGAUCCAGACAUACGCCCAAGUCCGAAAUCACCAUACAAACCUGCUAAAACCUUCAAAUCUUGAUUCUGAGGUCGUUUACUCUAAAAUCCAAUCUUAGUUGAUUCUUCCAACUUAAGGCUUCUGAAAUGAGAAUUUUCUUUCCAAUUUGACCCCGAACUUCCUGGAAUUCAACUCCGACCACGCCUACGAGUCAUAACACCUAAAAUGAAGCUGCUCAUGGCUUCAAACCACUGAACGACAUGAUAGAGCUCAAAACGACCGGUCGGAUCUUUACAAAAUACUUACUAGGAAUGUGUUUAUUUACGUACUCAUACUGCACUUUUUCACUAAUUGUAAAAGUACUAUGAUUGGUACAUCAGGUGGUCACUCAGACGCGUAGCUGCAUUAGCUGAAGACUUAGUGCUGAGAUAUUUUCCAUGUUUCGACCUGCACCACCCGGAGUCUCCUUCCUUCUAUGUUUAUUUUAUUCUGUCUAGUUUUAUUCCAGACUGUAGUCAUAAUGAUUUUGUACUAGAUGCUCAUGCACUUGUGACACCGGAUUUUGGGGUUUUAAUAGAUGUUCAUGAUUGUACCUAAUAUUUAUAUCAUUGUGCUUUAUAUUUCAUCCAUACUUCGUGACUUAGUAAGAAUGAAUGUAUUUUACCAUGG
rnacentral:lncRNA from 1 species